UUUGCAUUUGAUUGAUAUUACUUCGUGCUGAUUACCAAUAUUUCAUGUUUUGUAGGAGGCAGUUAGAUUCUUCGUAAUUCCAGAUAAACAAGAAAAAUCAUAAUGAAAGUAGCAAACUACAAAGAAACAUUCACAGUGCCAACAAAUAAAUGCCAACAGUGCAAAACACCACGCAAGGGCGCAUGUAAACACAUUUAAAGAUAAAUAGAAGAGUUCUUGUGACGGCAGAUUGUGUUUAUCCUUGUUCCGACUGCGUGUGGCUUGACGAGCGUACUUACUGACUUUUGAUCUGACUUAGUAUGUCGUAUCGGACAGCAAAACCUUUCCCAUGAUCCGAAAAGGUUUGUGGCUUGGCGAAUCUCGAGAAGCCACCCA